GAAGCACGCCAGACUGCCGCUGGUGCAAGGGUGGAAACACCGCACUGGAGGAAGGUCCGGACUGCGCAGGGCAGCGUAGCAGCUAACAGCUGUCCACCGUGAGGUGAGGAUCAGAGCUACAGAGACGAGUCGGACCGGGGCAACCCGGGACGGGUGAAACGAGCAAUCUCUACGCGCAGCAAUACCAAGUAGGCACACGUUGACGGGG
rnacentral:RNase_P_RNA from 1 species